UCCAGUGACGAUAGCGAAGAGGCCACACCCGUUCCCAUGCCGAACACGGUAGUUAAGCUCUUCAGCGCCGAUGGUAGUUGGGGGCUCUCCCCCUGUGAGAGUAGGACGCCGCUGGGC
rnacentral:rRNA from 1 species